rnacentral:tmRNA from 1 species
GGGGUUGUACUGGUUUCGACAGGGAUUUAGAAAUCCCGGCAGCCAUCCGUGGUCCGGAACCACGUAAAAAGUCGGAAAAAAAUAAACGCUGAAGAUAGAAAUUUAGCACUCGCUGCCUAAGCGCAGCUGUCGGCCCGAGAGUCAUCCGCUGCUCACGGUGUCCGGCAUCGAACAGGCGGAGAACGUUCCUCCCAAAGCUUUGCGGGUUGAAACGAAUCAUGAAGCUACCGAUCACCCGAGCCUGUCUAUGGGCGCCUGUGUGAGGGAAUCUUAAAACACAGACUGUGAUGGAAGACACCGGUAUGGAAGAGUCUUUGGACGCGGGUUCGAUUCCCGCCAGCUCCAU